rnacentral:lncRNA from 1 species
AAUUUGUGGAGUUAAGCCCAAUACUUUAUUAUUUGGGCCAGUGAUUUUAUUUGUUUGUUGAAUAACCAAAGCCCAAUAUAUAUAUAUAUAUAUGCAUUCGGUUUUAAAAGGCCCAAGUUCAACUCUUUUAAAUCAGUAGAUUAACCUACUCUCAUUAGUGCAAUUGUGCAAAUUGGAUUAUUAAAGUAGAUUAGCUGCUCAAGCAACACGUGGCUCUGCACUCAUUACUCAGCUGUUUUCCAAACCGACUUAGAGAUAGUAUAAGUAUUUUCCUUCUCACGAUCAGCCAUUUUUCUUCACCCUGUAACUCGGUCCAGUUCACCAAUCAUCUCCAAAAAUCUUUCACAGCAAAGCAAUUCAGGUAGUAUUCAUUUAUACAGUUCAGUAAUCCAUUCAUAGACAGCAGCUAAGAAUAACAGAAAUAGACAAUAGCUAGAUCUAGUUCCAAUUCAAUAUACCAAGGCAACAAUACCAGUUUUCUUUGACAUUUAUAGUACGCUUCCAGAUACAAGAGUUUAUAAAUCGAAUAAACAGUUGAGAUAACAGAUUUAUAACUACAAAAGAAUAAAAAUGGAAUCUUGGGCAGUAGAGGAAGCUGACACGCCGGAGUUGACGACGCCGAUCAACCCCUGAAAUAGAAAAUAGUUAAGAGAUUUAUUAGUUGAGGUAGUAAAAUUGGAAAGUAGAGAGAACGAAAAAAAAAGAAAAUAGAAGAAGGGGAAACGGCAGGAACAGCCGUGGGGCCGCGUCUCACGGCGGCAACCGCCGGCGCUGCCCACGCCACGGCGGUCCGUGGUGGCUACUGACAGCAGAGAGAGGUUGAGCAAGGGAGAUAGAGAGGGAGAUUAAACCAGGGAGAUAGAGAGUGAAAUAGAAAGAGACGGAUAGAACGAGAUGGAGGGAGAGAGGGGAGAGCAGGGCGGCGGCGACCCCCGGCGCUGCAUGCGCCGUCGCCACUCGCAGCGGCCGCCGCGGCCCGACCAGAAAAGAGAGAGAGAUCGAGAUAGAGGAGUAGAGAAAGGAAGAAAGAAAAUGAGAG